rnacentral:ribozyme from 1 species
GCCCGUCACGGCGGCAUAAAAAUAGCGCAUUAGGCCGUGAGCGUUUCCCCUUCUGCCCUGCGCAGCCGGGGAAGGUUGCG